rnacentral:rRNA from 1 species
ACUCCUACGGGAGGCAGCAGUGGGGAAUCUUGGACAAUGGGGGCAACCCUGAUCCAGCCAUGCCGCGUGAGUGAUGAAGGCCUUAGGGUCGUAAAGCUCUUUCGCCAGGGAUGAUAAUGACAGUACCUGGUAAAGAAACCCCGGCUAACUCCGUGCCAGCAGCCGCGGUAAUACGGAGGGGGUUAGCGUUGUUCGGAAUUACUGGGCGUAAAGCGCGCGUAGGCGGAUCAGAAAGUUGGGGGUGAAAUCCCGGGGCUCAACCCGGAACUGCCUCCAAAACUCCUGAUCUAGAGUUCGAGAGAGGUGAGUGGAAUUCCGAGUGUAGAGGUGAAAUUCGUAGAUAUUCGGAGGAACACCAGUGGCGAAGGCGGCUCACUGGCUCGAUACUGACGCUGAGGUGCGAAAGUGUGGGGAGCAAACAGGAUUAGAUACCCUGGUAGGCGUAG